GAUUAACGCUGGCGGCGUGCCUAACACAUGCAAGUCGAACGAGGUAGCAAUACCUAGUGGCAGACGGGUGAGUAACGCGUGGUCAACCUACCGUUGAGUGGGGGAUAACUAGCCGAAAGGUUAGCUAAUACCGCAUACGUCUCCGAGUGGCAUCACUUGGCGAUAAAAGGAGCAAUCCGCUCGAUGACGGGACCGCGUCCCAUUAGCUAGAUGGUGGGGUAACGCCUACCAUGGCACCGAUGGGUAGCUGGUUUGAGAGAGCGACCAGCCACACUGGGACUGAGAAACGGCCCAGACUCCUACGGGAGGCAG
rnacentral:rRNA from 1 species